CAAUAUGUCUAAAAAUAUGAAAAAAAAAAAACUUAAAACAUAUGCAACUUAUCUACACUAUGAACUAUUUGUAUUUGACUGCCUAAUCUUUCAGAAUCACUAUAAACUAUUUGUAUCUGACUGCCUAAUCUUUCAGAAUCUUUUUUAUUUGCUUGAUUUAAAUUAGUCAAAGGUUACAAAUUGAAAGGUUAGAUUGUAAAAUUAAAAUGUUGAAAUGUUGAAUAACCAAAUUUAAAAUGAUUCAUAGUUCACAUAAGUUUUAUACGUUUUGCCAAAAAAAUAAAAAUAAAUAAAUAAAGUCAUGUUUUAUUUGGGGGAA
rnacentral:lncRNA from 1 species